GUGUGCUUAAGUGACCAGGAGAAAAAUCAAACAUGGAGAGAGGUUUACACAGGGAACAAGUAGCCUCAGAAACCCAGCUGGCUCUAGCCCUCCUCCUCCAAUCUGACUGCUUGCAGGACCCCUGGGAAAGACACAUCUGGCCAGGAACUCACAAGGACGGGGAUAGUACAGAUUGUUUGGAGACUGAACCAGGAAACAUGGGGUCCACAGGUGACACAGGGGACUAAGAAUUGGCUCCCCCAAAAUUCUAGUGGAACCCAGGGGAGAUCCCUAGGAUAAAGUCUUCCAGAAUGGGCCAGCAAGUAUUGGGCACUGAGGGUGCACUGUUUUAAAAUCUUCAGACCAACUGGCAUUCAGAGAAGAGCCUGGAGGCCAUCUAAGCCUGAACACUGCCUCUAGAAUUUCUGCCUUCAGGAUUACCUCUCACACCCCAAAAGAUCCCACCUAAAACUACUGAGAAGAGAAGCUGAGAAUAUUUUGAACUCCAACAGUAAGAAUUCUUUAAAAAUCUUCAUCAAGAUUUUUCCUUUCUUUGUUUUCUUCUUUUUCUCUGUUUAAUUGUGACCUUGAUGAUACAUGAACAUUUAUAUAGUUUCAUAUUUUUUCUCAUUUCUAGCAUUUUUG
rnacentral:lncRNA from 1 species